GGGAGGGGGGGGGCGGGAGCCUGGGGAGGACGAACCGGGCGAACGUGUGUCGGAAUAACGGGGCUUAAAGUGCGGGUAGGCGGCAGGUCAAGUCCGGGGUGAAAGCCCCCAGCUCAACUGGGGAAGUGCCUUGGAGACUGGGCUGCUCGAGGGAGGUAGGGGUCGAGGGAACUUCUGGUGGAGCGGUGAAAUGCGUUGAUAUCAGAAGGAACGCCGGUGGCGAAAGCGCUCGACUGGACCUUUUCUGACGCUGAGGCGCGAAAGCUAGGGGAGCAAACGGGAUUAGAUACCCGUGUAGUC
rnacentral:rRNA from 1 species